rnacentral:lncRNA from 1 species
GGGGUCGGCACCGCGCCGGGUCCCGCCCUGCCCCGGGCUCCCGUGCCCUGCCGGUGACUCACCGGCUGCGCCCCAACCGCCCCGGGCUGCUGCCAGCGCCGGGGCCGGGGCCGGGAAGGGGGCUGGGAACGGGCCCGGCCCUGCCGCUCGCAGCCCAGCCCCGGGGAGCUCCCGCGAGCCCCCUGCCCCCCCGGCCGUGUUUGUGCCGUGCCGGUGCCCGCAGCUGUCCCCGAGCGGCCCCGGGGCCGGUGUUCAGGCGGCUCCGCACCGCUCCGGGGCCCCGGCGCCGGCGGGGGGCUAAAAAUAACGCGGGGGGCUCGGGUUGCUGCUGGCAGCGCCCCUCGGGCCCGGCCCCGCGGCGGCCUGGGGAGGCCCCGGGGGGCACCGGGAGGGCCCCGGGCCGUGCCCGCUCUGCGCCGGGAGCCCCGGGACGGGGCGCUGGGACCUCAGGGACCCCCGGGACGCCCCCCCCGUGGGGGAGCCGCUCGCGGCGGAGCCUCGCGGAACCGUGGGCCGGGGCCGGGGCCGCCUCCCGGGGCCGUUGUCAGCGAGCCGGGGGGGGGCGGGGCCCGGUUCGGCCCCGGGUCCCCGCAGGCCUCGGCCGAGAGGGCCCGGGGCGGGCGGUGCCAUGGCAACGGCAGCGGGGCCUUGGGGCGGUGCCCGCGCCGCGGGGAUUGGUGCACGCGGCUGUCACUCAAGUCGCCGGCCCGGCGGCUGGCUGCCGAGCGCCGCGUGAUUGGCGGCUGCCGCUGUCGCUCGGCCGAAGGCUCGCGUCCCGUUGGGCGGCCGCCACGUCGGUCAUGACGCGAGGGGCGGGUCUCUCGGGGUGGCUUCUCCUCGCCGAUUGGUCCAGCGCGCGGCCGCCGGGCGAAGCUCCGGGGCCAUCGCCUCUCUCCGCGCUCCGAUUGGCCGCCCCGCCUGCCCGUCACGGCGGCGGCGGGGGCGGGAGCGACGCCUCGCCGCGACCGCCCAUUGGGCCACCGCCCGGUCCCGCCUCCCCGCGGCUGCUGCCGAUUGGCGGAGGGGCCGCGCGAGGCGGGAGGGGGAGGCGGGGGCCAGGGCGGGGA